AGAUUGAACUGAAGAGUUUGAUCCUGGCUCAGAUUGAACGCUGGCGGGAUGCUUUACACAUGCAAGUCGGACGGCAGCACGGGCUUCGGCCUGGUGGCGAGUGGCGAACGGGUGAGUAAUGUAUCGGAACGUGCCCAGUAGCGGGGGAUAACUACGCGAAAGCGUGGCUAAUACCGCAUACGCCCUACGGGGGAAAGCGGGGGACCUUCGGGCCUCGCACUAUUGGAGCGGCCGAUAUCGGAUUAGCUAGUUGGUGGGGUAACGGCCUACCAAGGCGACGAUCCGUAGCUGGUUUGAGAGGACGACCAGCCACACUGGGACUGAGACACGGCCCAGACUCCUACGGGAGGCAGCAGUGGGGAAUUUUGGACAAUGGGGCAACCCUGAUCCAGCCAUCCCGCGUGUGCGAUGAAGGCCUUCGGGUUGUAAAGCACUUUUGGCAGGAAAGAAACGGCACGGGCUAAUAUCCUGUGCAACUGACGGUACCUGCAGAAUAAGCACCGGCUAACUACGUGCCAGCAGCCGCGGUAAUACGUAGGGUGCAAGCGUUAAUCGGAAUUACUGGGCGUAAAGCGUGCGCAGGCGGUUCGGAAAGAAAGAUGUGAAAUCCCAGGGCUUAACCUUGGAACUGCAUUUUUAACUACCGGGCUAGAGUGUGUCAGAGGGAGGUGGAAUUCCGCGUGUAGCAGUGAAAUGCGUAGAUAUGCGGAGGAACACCGAUGGCGAAGGCAGCCUCCUGGGAUAACACUGACGCUCAUGCACGAAAGUGUGGGGAGCAAACAGGAUUAGAUACCCUGGUAGUCCACGCCCUAAACGAUGUCAACUAGCUGUUGGGGCCUUCGGGCCUUGGUAGCGCAGCUAACGCGUGAAGUUGACCGCCUGGGGAGUACGGUCGCAAGAUUAAAACUCAAAGGAAUUGACGGGGACCCGCACAAGCGGUGGAUGAUGUGGAUUAAUUCGAUGCAACGCGAAAAACCUUACCUACCCUUGACAUGUCUGGAAUCCCGAAGAGAUUUGGGAGUGCUCGCAAGAGAACCGGAACACAGGUGCUGCAUGGCUGUCGUCAGCUCGUGUCGUGAGAUGUUGGGUUAAGUCCCGCAACGAGCGCAACCCUUGUCAUUAGUUGCUACGAAAGGGCACUCUAAUGAGACUGCCGGUGACAAACCGGAGGAAGGUGGGGAUGACGUCAAGUCCUCAUGGCCCUUAUGGGUAGGGCUUCACACGUCAUACAAUGGUCGGGACAGAGGGUUGCCAACCCGCGAGGGGGAGCCAAUCCCAGAAACCCGGUCGUAGUCCGGAUCGCAGUCUGCAACUCGACUGCGUGAAGUCGGAAUCGCUAGUAAUCGCGGAUCAGCAUGUCGCGGUGAAUACGUUCCCGGGUCUUGUACACACCGCCCGUCACACCAUGGGAGUGGGUUUUACCAGAAGUAGUUAGCCUAACCGCAAGGGGGGCGAUUACCACGGUAGGAUUCAUGACUGGGGUGAAGUCGUAACAAGGUAGCCGUAUCGGAAGGUGCGGCUGGAUCACCUCCUUU
rnacentral:rRNA from 1 species